GUCCAGACUCCUACGGGAGGCAGCAGUGGGGGAUAUUGCACAAUGGGGGAAACCCUGAUGCAGCGACGCCGCGUGGGUGAAGAAGUAUUUCGGUAUGUAAAGCCCUAUCAGCAGGGAAGAAAGAAGACGGUACCUGACUAAGAAGCCCCGGCUAACUACGUGCCAGCAGCCGCGGUAAUACGUAGGGGGCGAGCGUUAUCCGGAUUCACUGGGUGUAAAGGGAGCGUAGACGGCCGUGCAAGCCAGGAGUGAAAGCCCGGGGCCCAACCCCGGGACUGCUCUUGGAACUGUGCGGCUGGAGUGCGGGAGGGGCAGGCGGAAUUCCUGGUGUAGCGGUGAAAUGCGUAGAUAUCAGGAGGAACACCGGCGGCGAAGGCGGCCUGCUGGACCGCGACUGACGUUGAGGCUCGAAAGCGUGGGGAGCAAACAGGAUUAGAUACCCGCGUAGA
rnacentral:rRNA from 1 species